GCUGAACGCUGGCGGCGUGCUUAACACAUGCAAGUCGAACGAAGCAUUUAAGACAGAUUACUUCGGUUUGAAGUCUUUUAUGACUGAGUGGCGGACGGGUGAGUAACGCGUGGGUAACCUGCCUCAUACAGGGGGAUAGCAGCUGGAAACGGCUGGUAAUACCGCAUAAGCGCACAGUACCACAUGGUACAGUGUGAAAAACUCCGGUGGAAUGAGAUGGACCCGCGUCUGAUUAGCUUGUUGGCGGGGUAACGGCCUACCAAGGCGACGAUCAGUAGCCGACCAGUGAGGGUGACCGGCCACAUUGGGACUGAGACACGGCCCAGACUCCUACGGGAGGCAGCAGUGGGGAAUAUUGCACAAUGGAGGAAACUCUGAUGCAGCGACGCCGCGUGAGUGAAGAAGUAGUUCGCUAUGUAAAGCUCUAUCAGCAGGGAAGAUAGUGACGGUACCUGAGUAAGAAGCUGGGGAUAAAUACGUG
rnacentral:rRNA from 1 species